AUUGAACGCUGGCGGCAGGCUUUACACAUGCAAGUCGAACGAGUGGCGGACGGGUGAGUAAUGUAUGGGAACCUGCCCGGUGGCGGGGGAUAACUACUGGAAACGGUAGCUAAUACCGCAUACUAUCGGAUGUGCCAAGAUGGGAUUAGCUAGUUGGUGGGGUAACGGCUCACCAAGGCGACGAUCACUAGCUGGUCUGAGAGGAUGACCAGCCACACUGGUACUGAGACACGGGCCAGACUCCUACGGGAGGCAGCAGUGGGGAAGAUUGCACAAUGGGCGAAAGCCUGAUGCAGCCAUGCCGCGUGUAUGAAGAAGGCCUUCGGGUUGUAAAGUACUUUCAGCGGGGAAGCGUUACUCGCAGAAGAAGCACCGGCUAACUCCGUGCCAGCCGCCGCGGUAAUUC
rnacentral:rRNA from 1 species